GACAGAGGGUGCGAACGUUGUUCGGAAUUACUGGGCGUAAAGCGCAUGUAGGCGGCAGCGCAAGUCGGGCGUGAAAUCCCACGGCUCAACCGUGGAAGUGCACUCGAAACUGCGCAGCUAGAGUCCUGGAGAGGAAGGUGGAAUGCUUGGUGUAGAGGUGAAAUUCGUAGAUAUCAAGCGGAACACCGGUGGCGAAGGCGCCUUCUGGACAGUGACUGACGCUGAGAUGCGAAAGCGUGGGGAGCAACAGG
rnacentral:rRNA from 1 species